rnacentral:rRNA from 1 species
GACGAACGCUGGCGGCGUGCUUAAUACAUGCAAGUCGAGCGAAGAUUGCAGCAAUGUAAUCUUAGCGGCGGACGGGUGAGUAACGCGUGGGCAAUCUGCCCUCUAGCCUGGGAUAACAGUUCGAAAGGACUGCUAACACCGGAUACUCUCACAACCCGGCAUCGGGAGGUGAGGAAAGUUUACACUAGAGGAUGAGCCCGCGUCCCAUUAGCUAGUUGGUGAGGUAACGGCCCACCAAGGCGACGAUGGGUAGCCGACCUGAGAGGGUGAACGGCCACACUGGGACUGAGACACGGCCCAGACUCCUACGGGAGGCAGCAGUAGGGAAUUUUCCGCAAUGGGCGCAAGCCUGACGGAGCAACGCCGCGUGAGGGAUGAAGGUUUUCGGAUCGUAAACCUCUGUCUUCAGGGACGAUAAUGACGGUACCUGAGGAGGAAGCCACGGCUAACUACGUGCCAGCAGCCGCGGUAAUACGUAGGUGGCAAGCGUUGUCCGGAAUUACUGGGCGUAAAGGGCGUGUAGGCGGCCUUUUAAGUCAGACGUGAAAUCCCUGGGCUUAACCCAGGAACUGCGUUUGAAACUGAGAGGCUUGAGGAUCGGAGAGGGCAGUGGAAUUCCCAGUGUAGCGGUGAAAUGCGUAGAUAUUGGGAGGAACACCAGUGGCGAAGGCGACUGUCUGGACGACACCUGACGCUGAGGCGCGAAAGCUAGGGGAGCAAACGGGAUUAGAUACCCUGGUAGUCCAUGCCGUAAACGUUGGGCACUAGGUGUGGGGGACAUUCCACGUUUUCCGCGCCGUAGCUAACGCAUUAAGUGCCCCGCCUGGGGAGUACGGCCGCAAGGCUAAAACUCAAAGGAAUUGACGGGGGCCCGCACAAGCGGCGGAGCAUGCGGAUUAAUUCGAUGCAACGCGAAGAACCUUACCAAGGCUUGACAUGAACCGGUAAUACCUGGAAACAGGUGCCCCGCUUGCGGUCGGUUCACAGGUGGUGCAUGGUUGUCGUCAGCUCGUGUCGUGAGAUGUUGGGUUAAGUCCCGCAACGAGCGCAACCCUCGUUCCAUGUUGCCAGCGCGUAAUGGCGGGGACUCAUGGGAGACUGCCGGGGUCAACUCGGAGGAAGGUGGGGACGACGUCAAAUCAUCAUGCCCCUUAUGUCUUGGGCUUCACGCAUGCUACAAUGGCCGGUACAAAGGGUUGCGAUACUGUGAGGUGGAGCUAAUCCCAAAAAGCCGGUCUCAGUUCGGAUUGGGGUCUGCAACUCGACCCCAUGAAGUCGGAGUCGCUAGUAAUCGCAGAUCAGCAACGCUGCGGUGAAUACGUUCCCGGGCCUUGUACACACCGCCCGUCAAGUCACGAAAGUUGGUAACACCCGAAGCCGGUGGCCUAACCCCUUGUGGGAGGGAGCUGUCGAAGGUGGGACUGGCGAUUGGGACUAAGUC